rnacentral:rRNA from 1 species
CCUGGCGGCACUAGCGCGGUGGUCCCACCUGACCCCAUGCCGAACUCAGAAGUGAAACGCCGUAGCGCCGAUGGUAGUGUGGGGUCUCCCCAUGUGAGAGUAGGGAACAGC